rnacentral:rRNA from 1 species
CGGGGUGCAGCAGGCGCGAAAACUUUACAAUGCUGGAAACAGCGAUAAGGGGACCUCGAGUGCCAGGUUACAAAUCUGGCUGUCGUGAUGCCUAAAAAGCAUUGCAUAGCAAGGGCCGGGCAAGACCGGUGCCAGCCGCCGCGGUAACACCGGCGGCUCGAGUGGUAACCGUUAUUAUUGGGUCUAAAGGGUCUGUAGCCGGCCGGAUAAGUCUCUUGGGAAAUCCAGCAGCUCAACUGUUGGGCUUUCAGGAGAUACUGUCUGGCUCGAGGCCGGGAGAGGUGAGAGGUACUUCAGGGGUAGGGGUGAAAUCUUGUAAUCCUUGAAGGACCACCAGUGGCGAAGGCGUCUCACCAGAACGGACCUGACGGCAAGGGACGAAAGCUAGGGGCACGAACCGGAUUAGAUACCCGGGUAGUCCCAGCCGUAAACGAUACUCGCUAGGUGUCGGCCACGGUGCGACCGUUGUCGGUGCCGUAGGGAAGCCGUGAAGCGAGCCACCUGGGAAGUACGGCCGCAAGGCUGAAACUUAAAGGAAUUGGCGGGGGAGCAC